UCAAGCGCGAAAAGGGCGUUUGGUGAAUGCCUUGGCAGUAAGAGGCGAUGAAAGACGUGAUACUCUGCGAUAAGCCAUGAGGAGCUGAGAAUAAGCUUUGAUCCAUGGAUCUCUGAAUGGGGCAACCCACCUAAUACUGUGUUAUUACUAUCCACGAGGCCUUCGGGUCGAAAUGGCUGGCUAAUAAUGCGGUAAACUAGGUACUUCUAACCUGAAUACAUAGGGUUAAAAGAGCAAACCCGGGGAACUGAAACAUCUAAGUACCCGGAGGAAAGGAAAUCAAUAGAUACUCCCAUAGUAGCGGCGAGCGAAAUGGGACCAGCCGAGCCAUGAUUGUGAAUAGAAUUUGCUGGGAAGCAAAACCAUAGUGGGUGACAGUCCCGUAUAUGAAGCAUGAAUGGACGUAUUAAGUAGGGCGGAACACGUGAAAUUCUGUCUGAACAUCGGAGGACCACCUUCGAAGGCUAAGUACUCCUUACUGACCGAUAGUGAACCAGUACCGUGAGGGAAAGGUGAAAAGCACCCCGACGAGGGGAGUGAAACAGUACCUGAAACCGAACGCCUACAAUCAGUUGGAGGGCCCUUGCGGCCUGACAGCGUACCUUUUGUAUAAUGGGUCAUCGACUUGGUCUAUCUAGCAAGCUUAAGCCGUUAGGUGUAGGCGCAGCGAAAGCGAGUCUUAAUAGGGCGAAUGAGUUAGGUGGAUCAGACCCGAAACCGAGUGAUCUAGGCAUGUCCAGGAUGAAGGUUAGGUAACACUAACUGGAGGUCCGAACCCACAUCUGUUGAAAAAGAUCGGGAUGAGGUGUGCCUAGGGGUGAAAGGCCAAUCAAACUCGGAGAUAGCUGGUUCUCUGCGAAAUCUAUUUAGGUAGAGCGUCAUCCGAAUACCCCGGGGGGUAGAGCACUGGAUGGGCAAUGGGGGCUUACCGCCUUACUGACCCUAACCAAACUCCGAAUACCCGGGAGUACUAGAUGGCAGACACACUGUGGAUGCUAACGUCCAUAGUGAAGAGGGAAACAACCCUAACCUACAGCUAAGGCCCCUAAUUCAUGGCUAAGUGGGAAAGCAGGUGGGACGACCAAAACAACCAGGAAGUUGGCUUAGAAGCAGCCAUCUUUUAAAGAUAGCGUAACAGCUCACUGGUCUAAAUAAGUUGUCCUGCGGCGAAGAUGUAACGGGGCUCAAGCCAUGAGCCGAAGCUUAGGAUGCACAUAGUGCAUGGUAGCAGAGCGUAGUGUGACAUAAUUCCAUGCGUCCUUACCAUCCUUCGGGGUGGAUUGGACGCAAGGAAUUUUCGAUGAAGCCGGCCUGUGAGGGAUCCGGUGGAGAGAUCACUAGUGAGAAUGAUGACAUGAGUAGCGACAAACAGGGUGAGAGACCCUGUCGCCGAAAGUCCAAGGGUUCCUGCUUAAAGCUAAUCUGAGCAGGGUAAGCCGACCCCUAAGGCGAGGCCGAAAGGCGUAGUCGAUGGGAACCAGGUUAAUAUUCCUGGGCCAGGUGGUAGUGACGGAUCUCGAGGGUAGUUCAUCCUUAUUGGAUUGAAUGGGCUGCUUAGAGGUUCCAGGAAAUAGCUCCACCAUGAGAUCGUACCCUAAACCGACACAGGUGGACUGGUAGAGAAUACCAAGGCGCUUGAGAGAAUGAUGUUGAAGGAACUCGGCAAAAUGCUUCCGUAACUUCGGGAUAAGGAAGACCCUUUUGUAGGCAACUAUAGAAGGGUGGCACAAGCCAGGGAGAAGCGACUGUUUAUCAAAAACACAGGGCUCUGCUAACACGUAAGUGGAUGUAUAGGGUCUGACGCCUGCCCGGUGCUGGAAGGUUAAUGCGGUUGGUGCAAGCUAACUUCUGAAGCCCCAGUAAACGGCGGCCGUAACUAUAACGGUCCUAAGGUAGCGAAAUUCCUUGUCGGGUAAGUUCCGACCUGCACGAAUGGCGUAACGAUUUCUCCGCUGUCUCCAACAUCAACUCAGUGAAAUUGAAUUCUCCGUGAAGAUGCGGAGUUCGCGUAGUUAGACGGAAAGACCCCGUGCACCUUUACUGCAACUUUACAUUGGUGUUAGGAAAAACAUAUUUAGC
rnacentral:rRNA from 1 species